CUUCACAACCGCAUCACAGCUCUACCAGUACAACCACAGCGACCGGAAAAAAAAGGUGAUUGUUCUUCUUCUUCACAACCGCAUCACAGCUCUACCAGUACAACCACAGCGACCGGAAAAAAAAGAGUUGCAGGAGGAGAACGUGGAUCAAAGUAGUUGUACUCUUUCCUUAAGUUCCACCCUUACUCAGUGUACAAGUUUAGGAACAACGACAGUGCAGCAUAAAAAAAGUACCCUUAAGAAGAUGAGAAGGAUACUUCCCUCCACAUCAGAUAGAAUGGGAAUGAAAGAGUAUAAGAAUGAGAAGGGUUUUGCGGGGCUUACAGCACUGCAAUAUGGUGAAGAUUUAGCUGCUCUAGAUAUUACUGAUGAUGAGAGAUUUUGGUUACUCCACAACUUUAAUUCAGAAUGUGCUCAAUAUAUAUCCCUGGCAAAUUUUUCUCCUGAAAAAAGACUCCAUUUUUUUCGGAGAACUCUUGAUCUUAAAGCUAGAUCUGAAGCCGAAUGUUCCAGCCACCAGUCCUCCACUACUAGGUCUUCUAAAAGAAGAACAGAACCAAGGAUCAAUUUCUAGGUACACAUUUCCUUUGCAAAAUCUAUUUUUUGACUUUUUCAAAAUCUAUUUUGACCCAUGGAUUUCUUUAACA